GAUGAACGCUGGCGGCGUGCCUAAUACAUGCAAGUCGAGCGAACGGACGAGAAGCUUGCUUCUCUGAUGUUAGCGGCGGACGGGUGAGUAACACGUGGAUAACCUACCUAUAAGACUGGGAUAACUUCGGGAAACCGGAGCUAAUACCGGAUGAUAUUUUGAACCGCAUGGUUCAAAAGUGAAAGACGGUCUUGCUGUCACUUAUAGAUGGAUCCGCGCUGCAUUAGCUAGUUGGUAAGGUAACGGCUUACCAAGGCAACGAUGCAUAGCCGACCUGAGAGGGUGAUCGGCCACUCGGGAGCGAGGACACGCACCAACCCCCGACGGGAGGCACGAGUAGGAAUCUUACGCGAUGGGCGAAAGCCUGACGGAGCAACGCCGCGUGAGUGAUGAAGGUCUUCGGAUCGUAAAACUCUGUUAUUAGGGAAGAACAUAUGUGUAAGUAACUGUGCACAUCUUGACGGUACCUAAUCAGAAAGCCACGGCUAACUACGUG
rnacentral:rRNA from 1 species